UACGGAGGGUGCGAGCGUUGUCCGGAAUCAUUGGGCGUAAAGGGCGCGUAGGUGGCCUGUGCAAGCGUGCGGUGAAAGCUCGGGGCUCAACCCCGAGUCGGCCGUGCGAACUGCUGGGCUCGAGCACUGUAGAGGCAGGCGGAAUUCCGGGUGUAGCGGUGGAAUGCGUAGAUAUCGGGAGGAACACCAGUGGCGAAGGCGACUACCUGGCCUGUUCUUGACGCUGAGGCGCGAAAGCUAGGGGAGCAAACGGG
rnacentral:rRNA from 1 species